rnacentral:rRNA from 1 species
UACGUAGGUGGCGAGCGUUGUCCGGAUUUACUGGGCGUAAAGCGCGCGUAGGCGCUUCUUAAGUCUUGUCGUGAAAGGUCGCGGCCCAACUGCGACAGUGCGCGGGAUACUGGGGAGCUUGAGGGCAGCAGAGGCCGGUGGAAUUCCCGGUGGAGUGGUGAAAUGCGUAGAUAUCGGGAGGAACACCAGAGGCGAAGGCGGCCGGCUGGGCUGUACCUGACGCUGAGGCGCGAAAGCGUGGGAGCGAACCGG